AUUGAACGCUAGCGGGAUGCUUAACACAUGCAAGUCGAACGGAGUGGAGGAGGGGUCAGUAAUAUAUCGGAACGUGCACAGUAGCGGGGGAUAACUACUCGCACGAGUGGCUAAUACCGCCUCAAAUUGGAGCGGCUGCUAUCGGCUGAGCUAGUUGGUGGGGUAAAGGCUCACCAAGGCAACGAGCCGUAACUGGUUUGAGAGGACGAUCAGCCACACUGGGACGUCGAAACUGACCAGAGGCCGACGUGAGGCAUCAGUGGUGAAUUUUGGACAAUGGGGGAAACCCUGAUCCAGCCAUCCCGCGUGUAUGAUGAAGUCCUUCGGGUUGUAAAGUACUUUUGGCAGAGAAGCGGUAUCUGCAGAAGAAGCACCGGCUAACUACGUGCCAGCAGCCGCGGUAAUUC
rnacentral:rRNA from 1 species